rnacentral:rRNA from 1 species
GUACGGGAGGCAGCAGUGGGGAAUCUUGCACAAUGGGCGAAAGCCUGAUGCAGCGACGCCGCGUGGAGGAUGAAGGCCUUCGGGUUGUAAACUCCUUUUCUUGGGAAAGAUAGUGACGGUACCCAAGGAAUAAGCCACGGCUAACUCUGUGCCAGCAGCCGCGGUAAGACAGAGGUGGCAAGCGUUGUUCGGAAUCACUGGGCUUAAAGGGCGAGUAGGCGGUGGAACAAGUCUGAGGUGGAAUCUUAGGGCUUAACCCUAAAACUGCCUUAGAAACUGUUUCACUUGAGUCAAUGAGGGGAGGGCGGAAUUCCUGGUGUAGCGGUGAAAUGCGUAGAUAUCAGGAGGAAGGCCUGUGGCGAAAGCGGCCCUCUGGCAUUGCACUGACGCUGAGGCGCGAAAGCGUGGGGAGCAAACAGGAUUAGAUACCCCGGUAGG